UUACGGUCAUAUCACGUUGAAACACCGAUUCUCGUACGAUAACAGAAGUUAAGCAAAGUCGACCCUAGUCAGUACCUAAAUGGGUGACUGCUUGGGAAUACCAGGUGCUGUCA